CAGUUCGGAUUGGAGUCUGCAACUCGACUCCAUGAAGCUGGAUUCGCUAGUAAUCGCGCAUCAGCCAUGGCGCGGUGAAUACGUUCCCGGGCCUUGUACACACCGCCCGUCAAGCCAUGGGAGUCGGGAGUGCCUGAAGUUCGUGACCGUCACAGGAGCGACCUAAGGCAAGACCGAUGACUGGGGCUAAGUCGUAACAAGGUAUC
rnacentral:rRNA from 1 species